ACUCCUACGGGAGGCAGCAGUGGGGAAUCUUGCACAAUGGGCGAAAGCCUGAUGCAGCGACGCCGCGUGGGGGAUGAAGCAUUUCGGUGUGUAAACCCCUUUCGACCCGGACGAAUGCCUCGCAAGAGGAGUGACGGUACGGGUAUAAGAAGCCCCGGCUAACUACGUGCCAGCAGCCGCGGUAAGACGUAGGGGGCCAGCGUUGUUCGGAAUUACUGGGUGUAAAGGGUUCGUAGGCGGUGUGGCAAGUUGGGAGUGAAAUCUCUGGGCUCAACCCAGAGGCUGCUUCCAAAACUGCUGUGCUUGAGUGUGGGAGAGGCGCGUGGAAUUGCAGGUGUAGCGGUGAAAUGCGUAGAGAUC
rnacentral:rRNA from 1 species